CUGCAGUGAUGAUGUAGAAUGUUGUGACUUGGUAUUGUCUGGAUGUGGUUGUUUACAUAGGCCAUGACUCUGACCAAGGCAGGAUCACAUGAAUCUUCUCUCUGAGCAG